GUCUUGGGAACCCCCUAAAGUCUUUUGGGAAUCCUCAAAAAGCAUGGGAAGUUAAGUAUUUAGCUACAUAAAUGUUGUAAGAUCAUAUCUUAUGUAUAGAAGUAAUAAGACCAUUUGGAAUUACUGGACUAAUUGAAUAGUUAAGGUUUCUAUUCGGGACAAUAAAAUGUAUUUUGAAAGUGCUGCUAACUAUUGAUGCUGACAGUGUUUCACUCCUAUGAGUGACCCAAACAUAUUAUAAAUAUGUGGUAAAGGGAAUGGAGCCUGUGGGGUUGAGCAGAAUGUUGUACUAGCUGUGCCUGGACUGAGUAUAACAGCUUUAUGAUUAUGAGA
rnacentral:lncRNA from 1 species